GAGAAUCUGGCAAAAGGUUCGGGACAACAGUUGGAAACGGCUGCUAAUACCGGAUGUGCCUGUGGGUGAAAGAUUAAUCGCCUUUUGAUGAGCUCGCGUCUGAUCAGCUAGUUGGUGUGGUAAGAGCGCACCAAGGCGACGAUCAGUAGCUGGUCUGAGAGGAUGACCAGCCACACUGGGACUGAGACACGGCCCAGACUCCUACGGGAGGCAGCAGUGGGGAAUUUUCCGCAAUGGGCGAAAGCCUGACGGAGCAAUACCGCGUGAGGGAGGAAGGCUCUUGGGUUGUAAACCUCUUUUCUCAGGGAAUAAGAAAGUGAAGGUACCUGAGGAAUCAGCAUCGGCUAACUCCGUGCCAGCAGCCGCGGUAAUACGGAGGAUGCAAGCGUUAUCCGGAAUGAUUGGGCGUAAAGCGUCCGCAGGUGGUUGCUCAAGGCUGCUGUCAAAGAGUCUGGCUCAACCAGAUAAAGGUAGUGGAAACUGAGAGACUAGAGUGCGGUAGGGGCUAGAGGGAAUUCCGUGGUGUAGCGGAUGAAAAUGCUGUAAGUAGGAUCGCAGGGGAAAAAA
rnacentral:rRNA from 1 species